AUAUACUAGUACUUUCUAAUUAGCGGUGCUAAAAGUUUUAGAAUUGUUGUUAAAUUAAGUUAGUAGCUGUAUGAUUUAAAUUGAAAUUUUUCCAUAACAAAAUUGUUCUGCCCAGCCCCUUUGCCGCUUCAAAAUAGCUCGAAAUAUAAGAAACAUGGCGAGCAGAGAAUCCAUCUCAAAAUAGCUCCAGCUUACUGACAACGCCGUCGUCUUACUCUUCUUCUGCAAAAGCGUGGCGGCAAAUCGGCACAGAUUGAAUCGGAUUGAUGCAACAGGGUGAUCCGUGCUGAUCUUGAGCUGGGCCGCUAAAUUUUUGCAUCGGUAUUUUAGCAAAUGUGGAAGAGAAGAACAUGGAAAUGAUGGCAAUGGGAUGGAGUGACUUUAUGGUCAAAGGAACACACAUGUUGGAGGCAGCUUUGGGCUGUAUGAUACAAUUAUUUAUACCUCAAUUCAUUAGUGCUGCUGCUGCUCCUGCUCUAACUAAAUAACUGCUUUUCACUUUGAAUAUUCAAUUAUGCUGCUUUGCUAAUUUCAAUUUUUUCUCCCAUCUUU